AGAGCUUUACGUGUCAUCUAUUGGUCUGUAAAGAGGAAGUAACCGGAUGUGGAAACAUUAGCUUGGCUUGCUAAAUCCCGAUAGAAAAAUCUCUUAAAGUUUGUGAAAAACGAGUAUAAUUGAAGUCUAAGACUCUCCACUCAACACUCGCCGUGAGGAAACCGCUUCUACAUGUUUGCUUUGAACAGCUGUGCUAAAAGACACGUCCACGCUGAGUUUGUGAGACAGUACGGGGAAGCACAAGUCGUCUGUGGACACCUCCCCUAAGCCUUGUUGCUCAGCUGAGGACCAAUACUAGGGACAGUUACAGAGUGGAACCAGAACUUCUGACCAAGGAAGCAGAUAACAAGAAGCUGUCGGUUACAUGGCUGAAACCGUGACCUACUAAAAAACAUAUGUAGGUUGCAAACAAGGAUUGUGAAAAAGGAGAAUCCCAGGGGGAUCAAGGGUGUCUAAAAUGAUGAAGGUCAAAGCUGACAUCCCCAGAGGGCUCCGUGUGGAGCCCCCCAUUCCUGCAGCAUCCACAUCAGAACCGGAGCAGAAACAAGACAGCAAAGAUCUCAUCCAUCAGAUGUUGGUGAUUAAAGUGGUUCCCCAUGACUGGAGACCCAGUUUGGACCAGCAGGAUCCAGG